AUUUAAGGUGAUCUUUUACAGCGCUCUUUAAAAAGCGCUGUAAUAGGCUUUAAAAAAAAUAAAAUAAGGUGGUCUUUUACAGCACUCUUUAAAAAAGCGCUGUAAAAGACAUCCUUAUUUUAUUUUUUAAAAGCCUAUUACAACGUUUUUUUAAAGAGCGCCGUAAAAGACUUCCUUAUUUUUUUUUUAAAGAACGCUGUAAUAGGAUUUUGUAUAUAACAUUAAACCCUUAAGUUUUCUCUUCAUUACAUAAACUUCACUACGCUUCAGUGUCCUUCUCAUUGGCAACCCUACUGUCCCUACGAACCAUAUUGUUAACCAUCUCCAUUGCAAACCAUCUUUAUAUUUGUUACUAUCCCUACGAACAUUAUUACAUACCAUUUUCAUUGCGAACCCUACUCUGUCCUACGAACCGUUCGUAUUUCUGCGCAUUCUCGUUGUUCCUUCUUAAACGAAACCGUAACCCUACAAACCCUACGUAUUUUUUCGCACUCUUCAGUGUUUUACAAGUUUUCCGAGCUCAAAUGGGUGUUACAGUGUCGAAGCAAAAGUCAAAUAAAUCACAUGGAUUCCAAUAAAGUGCCCUCGUCAAACUAACAACAUAGACUGCGGAUCCUAUAUAUUGCGAUUCAUGAAGGAAAUUGUUGAUAUAAUCCUAGAAAGAGAUCUAACUGAAAUAAAGGAAUGCACCUAUUACAUCGCUUUUUUUUAAAAAGCGCUGUAAAACUUGUACAACAAGCAGCG